ACGUAGGGUGCAAGCGUUGUCCGGAUUUAUUGGGUUUAAAGGGUGCGUAGGCGGGCUAUUAAGUCAGUGGUGAAAUCCAACAGCUCAACUGUUGAUGUGCCAUUGAUACUGGUAGCCUUGAGUACAGAUGAGGUAGGCGGAAUUGACAGUGUAGCGGUGAAAUGCAUAGAUAUUGUCAAGAACUCCGAUAGCGAAGGCAGCUUACUGGGCUGUAACUGACGCUGAUGCACGAAAGUGUGGGGAUCAAACAGG
rnacentral:rRNA from 1 species